ACAGGGAAAAAAAGAAAAGAAAAGAAAAAGAAAAGAAAAGAAGAGAAGAGUGUGGCAGAAAAAAAGGGCAAAUAG
rnacentral:ribozyme from 14 species